UUGCCCACUCCACCAGGAUGCGCCAGAUUUUAUCACAGCUGCGCAGAGAUUCCCUGCUCCUCCCUGUUUGUCUGUGACAUCAGCUCGAGGCAGGCGGGAUUCUCUGAGCUCAAAAGCUGCGGUCGGCAGGCAGUAGCUAGGGAAUGAAUCCCUGGGGCAGCGGGGGCUCCCCGCGCUCCAUGCCCUGCGGAGCCGAGCGGAGCGGAGUCGAGCGGGGGCACAGCGGGGUCUCUGGGGCACAGCGGGGUCUCUCCGCACUGUCAAGAGGAAUAGAAGGUUCCCAACACAGCACCACUGCUCAGGCCACAUUCUGCUUGAGACAACAGCAGCAGCAGCAGCACCUUUCACCUGGAUAAUCAGCUGAGACACUACCAACACACACCACUUACCCCAGGCAGCUUUCUGAAACCACUCACUGAAACACUACAUUGGAAUCAUUAACUACAUUGGAAACAUUAACAGCACCAUUCCAUCAUCUUCCCUGGCAACAGCAUCUGCUGAGCAAUGGAUUUAAGGCUUUGAGAAAAGACCCAGUGAAAUGACCCCAGUGCAGUGGCAGUGGCCCCACAGACACCUGCACACGAGCCCUAGAGCUGAGCCUGAGCCCUGCCCACCUCAGCACACGGGCUCAGGAACUUCACAGGAACUCUGGCCCACAGAAGCCAGGCAGCCAGGGAUCCAGGAGGCUUUAAUAAAGGUCACAGGAAGAGCUGAAAUCUUCACAACCAGCCAUUUACAUCCAGCUGCUGCAGUGAUGAGCAUCAGGUCCAAAGGGGCAAAUCCCAGGAUGCAGCUCCAGAGUGACAGUCCUGUGGAUGAGCCAGGACACUGCCACCUCAGCCUUAGAACAGAACUGCCUCUGCUCCAAACACUCCAUGUCUGAGAGAUUCUGCC